GACGAACGCUGGCGGCGUGCUUAACACAUGCAAGUCGAACGGUGAUCUUGGGAGCUUGCUCCUGGGUGAUCUGUGGCGAACGGGUGAGUAACACGUGAGUAACCUGCCCCUGACUCUGGAAUAACUUCGGGAAACCGAAGCUAAUACCGGAUAUGACACAGAGCCGCAUGGUUUCUGUGUGGAAAGUUUUUUCGGUUGGGGAUGGACUCGCGGCCUAUCAGCUUGUUGGUGAGGUAAUGGCUCACCAAGGCGACGACGGGUAGCAGGCCAGGGAGGGCGACCAGCCCAACUGGGACACAGACACGGCCCAGACUCCUACGGGAGGCAGCAGUGGGGAAUAUUGCACUAUGGGCGAAAGCCUGAGGCCGCGACGCCGCUUGAGGGAUGAAGGCCUUCGGGUUGUAAACCUCUUUCAGUAGGGAAGAAGCGCAAGUGACGGUACCUACAGAAGAAGCACCGGCUAACUACGUGCCAGCAGCCGCCGUAACAC
rnacentral:rRNA from 1 species